UCAUGAUAACUUAACGAAUCGCAUGGCCUUGCGCCGGAAUGGUUCAUUCAAAUUUCUGCCCUAUCAACUUUCGAUGGUAGGAUAGUGGCCUACCAUGGUAUCAACGGGUAACGGGGAAUUAGGGUUCUAUUCCGGAGAGGGAGCCUGAGAAACGGCUACCACAUCCAAGGAAGGCAGCAGGCGCGCAAAUUACCCAAUCCCGACACGGGGAGGUAGUGACAAUAAAUACUGAUACAGGGCUCUUUUGGGUCUUGUAAUUGGAAUGAGAACAAUUUAAAUCCCUUAACGAGGAACAAUUGGAGGGCAAGUCUGGUGCCAGCAGCCGCGGUAAUUCCAGCUCCAAUAGCGUAUACUAAAGUUGUUGCAGUUAAAAAGCUCGUAGUUGAACCUUGGGUCUGGGUGACCGGUCUGCCUCACCGAUGCACUGGGAACCCGGACCUUUCCUUCUGGCAAACCUCAUGCCCUUCACUGGGUGUGUAGGGGAACCAGGACUUUUACUUUGAAAAAAUUAGAGUGUUCCAAAGCAGGCA
rnacentral:rRNA from 1 species